AUACGAAGGGUGCAAGCGUUAAUCGGAAUUACUGGGCGUAAAGCGCGCGUAGGUGGUUCAGCAAGUUGGAUGUGAAAGCCCCGGGCUCAACCUGGGAACUGCAUCCAAAACUACUGAGCUAGAGUACGGUAGAGGGUGGUGGAAUUUCCUGUGUAGCGGUGAAAUGCGUAGAUAUAGGAAGGAACACCAGUGGCGAAGGCGACCACCUGGACUGAUACUGACACUGAGUGGCGAAAGCGUGGGGAGCAAACAGGAUUAGAUACCCUGGUAGUCCACGCCGUAAACGAUGUCAACUAGUUGUUGGGUUCCUUGAGAACUUAGUAACGAAGCUAACGCGAUAAGUUGACCGCCUGGGGAGUACGGCCGCAAGGUUAAAACUCAAAUGAAUUGACGGGG
rnacentral:rRNA from 1 species